GAUGAACGCUGGCGGCGUGCCUAAUACAUGCAAGUCGAGCGAACGGACGAGAAGCUUGCUUCUCUGAUGUUAGCGGCGGACGGGUGAGUAACACGUGGAUAACCUACCUAUAAGACUGGGAUAACUUCGGGAAACCGUAGCUAAUACCGGAUACUAUUUUGAACCGCAUGGUUCAAAAGUGAAAGACGGUCUUGCUGUCACUUAUAGAUGGAUCCGCGCUGCAUUAGCUAGUUGGUAAGGUAACGGCUUACCAAGGCAACGAUGCAUAGCCGACCUGAGAGGGUGAUCGGCCACACUGGAACUGAGACACGGUCCAGACUCCUACGGGAGGCAGCAGUAGGGAAUCUUCCGCAAUGGGCGAAAGCCUGACGGAGCAACGCCGCGUGAGUGAUGAAGGUCUUCGGAUCGUAAAACUCUGUUAUUAGGGAAGAACAUAUGUGUAAGUAACUGUGCACAUCUUGACGGUACCUAAUCAGAAAGCCACGGCUAACUACGUG
rnacentral:rRNA from 1 species